rnacentral:lncRNA from 1 species
AGCUUGUUUUCCAUGUUUGGAAUCGAAGGGCUCAACUGGGGAAGCUUUUGCAUCAUCAUGCUGCUGCUGUUGUUUCCAAUGGUGUAAUUAUUCACUAGUGGCUGCUCAAAGGUGAAUGAAGUGGGAUCAUAUCCGGAUCCAUUGCACUGGUUGUCUGCCAGGAAACUACUGAGCAUUGAGUAAUCCAUAGCGUCUAACAGGUUGGAGAAGGAACAAGAUUUCUGAGGCAGAUGGGCAUUGGUGGUUGGAGGGCUUUUAAUGGCUGCUGGUAAAAGGGCAUCUUUAAUGAACUGUUCUGCUUCUUCUUCCUCUAGAUCUUGAUCACUUGUUGCUGCUCCUAUUGCUGUU